GUCCCUGUAGUGCAAAGGAUAGUGCGUUGGACUUCUAAUCCAAUGUUCGUGAACUCAAAUCCCACCUGGGAUG